AUGUGGUGGCACACACCCGUAAUCUCAGCUACUCAGGAGUCUGAGGCAGGAGAAUUGCUUGAAGCUGGGAGGAGGAGGUUGCAAUCAGCAGAGAUUGAGCCACUGCACUUCAGCCUGGGCAACAGAGCAAGACUUCACCCUGCCCUUCCAAAAAAAAAAAUAGAAGUUUAUUUGGCUCACGGUUCUGGACGCUGAGGGGAUCAAGGGGCCACAACUUGUGAUGGCCUUCUUGCAGUGCCAUACCAUAGCAGAGGGGAAAGCGCACACAGGACACAGAAAGUGGAUGGAAACUGAACUUAUCCUUUUAUCAGAAGCACACUCCCUAGGUAACCCAACCUACUCUCUAGUUACCAACAUUCAUCCCUUCAUGAGGGCAGAGGCCUCAUGACCUAAUCAACUCUUACAGGCCCAACCUCUUAUUCUUUCUUCCCUUUCCCCUUUGCCUUUCCCCUUUCUUUUCUUUUCUUCUUUUCUUUCCUUUCCUUUUCUUUUUGAAGGAGUUUUGCUCUUGUUGCCCAGGCUGGAGUGAAAUAGAGCAAUCUCGGCCAACUGCAAACUCCGCCUCCAGGAUUCAGGUGAUUCUGCUGCCUCAGCCAUCCAAGUGGCUGGGAUUACAGGUGCCUGAGACCACGCCCAGGUAAUUUUUGUGUUUCUAGUAGAGACAGGGUUUCACCAUGUUGGCCAGGCUGUUCUUGAAUUCCUGACCUCAGAUGAUCCACCUGCCUUGACCUUCCAAAGCACUGAGAUUACAGAACUGAGCCACCGUGCCCGGCCAGGUCUCAGCUCUUAAUGCCAUCAGAAUGGCAAAUUUCAACAUGAGUUUUGGAGGGGGCAUUCAAACCACAGCACUUACCAUGCCUUGUUUUUCCUGAAUCUCCUGGGAUGUCGUCCCAAAUUGUUUCAUUUCUUCGUGGAAGGGGUAAAAGCAAAUAGUUGUGCAUUAUCAUCAACAUCAGAAUUUGGGAUGAUUUCUUUCCUUUAUUAUUAUUAUUAUUAUUUUUGUCAAGAGGGUUACUGCUUACUGAAACUUGAACUGAUUUCAUAGAACUCAGAAUAACUCUAAAUUAACCUAGGAUUUAAUUUGUUCAACUUUUCCUUUAUCCUGCCUUCCCUUUCAUCAAUGCUUGGCAUACCCACUCUUGGAACAGCCUUUCCUAACCCACUUGCGAGGCCCAACAGAGCGUAGAAGGAGCCAGAGAGUGUUUAUAUUUGAUCCCAACAGCUCUGAAGGCACAAUCCUGGCUCACUGCAACCUCCACCUCCCCGGCAGAAGUGAUUCUCCUGUCUCAGCCUCCUGAGUAGUUGGGAUUACAGGCGUGUGCCACCACACUCAGUCAAUUUUUGUAUUUUUAGUAGAGACGUGGUUUCACCAUGUUGGUCAGGCUGGUCUCGAACUCCUGACCUCGUGAUCCACCCACCUCAGCCUCCCAAAGUGUUGGGAUUACAGGCAUGAGCCACCUCGCCCAGCUCUCUAUUAAUCUAAACAUUUUAAAUAAAUAAAAGAAAACAUUUGUUAGGUAUAUAGUAGCUAACACAAAGAUAUCUGAACAUAAAAUUAAGAAAUAGCAUAUUGAAUCCAGAAGUAUAUUAAAAAACAAAAUAAAGCAGCAAAGUGGCCAGGCCCCCCUGG
ensembl:lncRNA